AGUAGGGUAUUUAGCUNUUAACUAAAUUUUCGUAGGUUUAAAUCCUUCCAAUCUAG
rnacentral:tRNA from 1 species